AUUGAACGCUGGCGGCAGGCUUAACACAUGCAAGUCGAGCGAGUGGAUUCCCUUCGGGGAUGAAGCUAGCGGCGGACGGGUGAGUAACACGUGGGCAACCUGCCUUAUAGAGGGGGAUAGCCUUCCGAAAGGAAGAUUAAUACCGCAUAACAUCAGAUUAUCGCAUGGUAGACUGAUCAAAGGAGCAAUCCGCUAUAAGAUGGGCCCGCGUCGCAUUAGCUAGUUGGUGAGGUAACGGCUCACCAAGGCGACGAUGCGUAGCCGACCUGAGAGGGAGGUCGGCCACAUUGGGACUGAGACACGGCCCAGACUCCUACGGGAGGCAGCAGUGGGGAAUAUUGCACAAUGGGGGAAACCCUGAUGCAGCAACGCCGCGUGAGUGAUGAAGGCCUUCGGGUUGUAAAGCUCUUUGAUCAGGGACGAUAAUGACGGUACCUGAAGAACAAGCCACGGCUAACUACGUGCCAGCCGCCGCGGUAAGAC
rnacentral:rRNA from 1 species